GGUAUUGCAAACGUAUCACCACCACAUGAAGUAAUGUGUAGUCAUCCCGUUGUUCAACUGUGAAGCAUAUGCAUAAUAUUGAAUGGAUCAGAAAUAAAUCAUCAGCUGUUAUUUAAUUAACGUGCAGUCAUCCUUUUCCAACAGUGAAUUAGUUGCAUUAUAUUGAAGGUUGCAGGUACCUCACAUUCGGUAUCACCCCAACAGCAACGAGCAAUAAGUUUCCCAACUAACUAUCUCCAAGAUAACGAUUGCAGUGAUAAGCGCCAAGUAAGCCUUUCUGGUUAGUCAUUUUUGCUUGCUGAUGAUGCUUUGUUUUUAAGAUGAUUAAGCGUAAACUGAAAGUAUUUGUUGGUAAGCGACAAACAGCACGAAGAAUUAGAUUAGCUAUCACUGAACAAACGAAUGAGAAUUCUAACGAAGUUACUGACAAUCCUCCGGAUAUCAAACGUCAUAAUGUUGACCAGGCAUCUGGUAUUAAUGUACUAGACAAUAGUGAUGCCGAAAUAGUAGAUUAUGAUGUUCUAGACAGUGAUUGCGAGGAUUCCGACGAAAGUCUGUCACUUGAACUUGGUGCCAGAACUUCUACUGACGAAGAAAGUAUUGACGAUUCUGAUUUAAGUGAUACAUCCGAUGCAUUUGACUUUGAUUAUGAAGGUUCUUACUGCGAUGCAACUGAUUUUGACGUCGAAUCAGUGAGCGACGACGACCAAGAAAAAGAUCCCUUUUAUUGGGAUUAUUUCGAAGGGAAUGAUAAUUUAUGGGAGAAUAAGGAGCGUCAAGAACUAUUUAGGAGUCGUCUUUCACAUUGGGUCGUCGAAACAAAUGUCCCCAGGAGUAGUGUUGACAAAUUGUUGGCAGUUUUAAGAACUGAGAAAGAUUUUUCAUUUCUUUCAAAGUCUUAUAAAACACUUUUAAAAACGAAACGAAAAGUAAAUACAAUCGAAGUAAAC